GAGAGAAGGCACUUCAACUUGGAUUGCAAAUAAUUGCAAAGAUUAAGGGCUAUGCUGAUGCAGCUCAGGCACCUGAAUUCUUUACAACUGCUCCAGCCCUUGUGAUACCAAAAGCUAUUUCAAAUGCUGGUUUAGAUGCUUCUCAGAUUGAUUACUAUGAAAUAAAUGAAGUGUUUUCUGAAAGCCUUAACGUACAUGGUGGGGCUGUAUCAUUGGGACACCCAUUAGGAUGCAGUGGAGCUCGUAUCUUGGUCACAUUGUUAGGGGUAAUCUAUAAGCUUCCCUUCUCUUGCAAUGCAUUCCUAGUUUGACAUUCUAAUAUCAUUUAUAUAGUUCUCUGGUUUUGUUUACAUGUUUUCUUAAUGAUCUAAAGUCAUAGUUCGUGGUCAUAUCUAAGCUUAUGCUUUCUACAUAUACUCAUGUGAAGUGAUCUCGUGUUUGUCAUUUAUUCUUUUA